GGGGUUGUGGCUCAGUGGUGGAGCGUUUGCCUGGCACAUACGAGGCCCUGAGUUCAAUCCUCAGCACCACA
rnacentral:tRNA from 1 species